rnacentral:rRNA from 1 species
GAUGAACGCUGGCGGCGUGCUUAACACAUGCAAGUCGAACGGGAUCCAGGGAGUGCUUGCACUUUUUGGUGAGAGUGGCGCACGGGUGAGUAACACGUGAGUAACCUGUCCUUUUCUUUGGGAUAAGCUCCUGAAAGGGUGUUUAAUACCUUAUGUUCUGUCUGCCUCGCAUGGGGUGGGUGGGAAAGAUUUGUUUCGGUAAGGGGUGGGCUCGCGGUCUAUCAGCUUGUUGGUGGGGUGAUGGCUUACCAAGGCUUUGACGGGUAGCCGGCCUGAGAGGGUGGUCGGUCACAGUGGGACUGAGAUACGGCCCAGACUCCUGCGGGAGGCAGCAGUGGGGGAUAUUGCACAAUGGGCGCAAGCCUGAUGCAGCGACGCCGCGUGGGGGAUGAAGGCCUUCGGGUUGUAAACUUCUUUUGCUCUGAACAAGGCGCAUCUUUGGGGUGUGUUGAGUGUAGGGGUUGAUUAGCGCCGGCUAACUACGUG